rnacentral:rRNA from 1 species
UACGUAGAAGACUAGUGUUAUUCAUCUUUAGUAGGUUUAAAGGGUACCUAGACGGUAUAAUUAGUCUUUAAUAGGAAACGGUUAUACUAGAGUUAUAUAUGAGAAGGUGAGUAUUUGUGGAGUAGAGUUGAAAUUCUUUGAUACCAUGACGACUGGUAAAGGCGAAAGCAACCUUUUAUCUAAUAACUGACGUUGAGGGACGAAGGCUCGGGUCGCGAACAGG